CGGGGCUCCCCAAGUCCCCGCAGGGCCCCGAACACCUGGUCUCACCUUCACAGGUGAGCGCCCCCGGGUGUCGCUUCUUCCAGCCCUGGCAGCACACGGCAUGGGUCUGCCGCACCUCGCGCCUCACCUCCCGCCAGGCCACGCGGUGCUGCAGAUGCGCCUCCCAGCGCACAGGGUCAGGUAGGGCUUGUACACUGGCUGGCUGUAGGACUCGUUGUAGCGGAGUGGGACCACCACCGUCUGCUUGGAGCAGACCCCCUGUCUGCAUCCAGAUCGGGAGAGCAGCCCCCACCCUUCCAGGAACGUUCCCGCCGGGCCGGAGUCGGGACAUCCACUUCUCCAUGCUGGCCCCCGGAAGUGCCCGCACCUGUGCGCGUUUAACCGAUCCACUCAGCAUCCUGCAGGCUCACACCCCAGUGCCCCUCCACCACCCCAUCCACCCCCAGGCCUCGGCCUCCUUAACACACCCCCUAUAACUGAUCUUCAUGCUUUCAAAACCCACAUAUCAUUCAUACAGCCUCACCAAGCACCUGGAGCCUUCACAUCUUUUUCUGAGACAAGACCCACAGCAUCACGAGCUCGCUGGAUGAGCACCAGUCAGAGGCCAUCUCCCAGCUCACAGACCCAAGGCUCGGAGUCCACCCCGCACUCCCCCACUGGCAUUUUCUCCCCACCUGGCUUCCCCUCUCUCCGGGAGACUUCAGGCGGCCCAGCCUCAGCAGCGGCGGCUCAGACUGGAG